rnacentral:rRNA from 1 species
UACGUAGGGCGCAAGCGUUAUCCGGAAUUAUUGGGCGUAAAGAGCUCGUAGGCGGUUUGUCGCGUCUGCCGUGAAAGUCCGGGGCUCAACUCCGGAUCUGCGGUGGGUACGGGCAGACUAGAGUGAUGUAGGGGAGACUGGAAUUCCUGGUGUAGCGGUGAAAUGCGCAGAUAUCAGGAGGAACACCGAUGUCGAAGGCAGGUCUCUGGGCAUUAACUGACGCUGAGGAGCGAAAGCAUGGGGAGCGAACAGG